UUGAACGCAGGCGGCAUGCCUAACACAUGCAAGUCGAACGGCAGCGCGGGCUUCGGCCUGGCGGCGAGUGGCGGACGGGUGAGGAAUACAUAGGAAUCUGCCCAGUCGUGGGGGAUAACCCGGGGAAACCCGGACUAAUACCGCAUACGACGGUGACGUGAAAGCCGGGGACCUUCGGGCCUGGCGCGAUUGAAUGAGCCUAUGUCGGAUUAGCUAGUUGGCGGGGUAAAGGCCCACCAAGGCGACGAUCCGUAGCUGGUCUGAGAGGAUGAUCAGCCACACUGGGACUGAGACACGGCACAGACGCCUCGGGGAGGAAGCAGUGGGGAAUAUUGGACAAUGGGCGCAAGCCUGAGCCAGCAAUGCCGCGUGGGUGAAGAAGGCCUUCGGGUUGUAAAGCCCUUUGGUACGGGAAGAAGUCAUCCGGGUUAAUACCCUGGGUGGAUGACGGUACCGUAAGAAUAAGCACCGGCUAACUUCGUGC
rnacentral:rRNA from 1 species